rnacentral:rRNA from 1 species
UACAGAGGUCUCAAGCGUUGUUCGGAUUCAUUGGGCGUAAAGGGUGUGUAGGUGGCGCCGUAAGUCGGGUGUGAAAUUUCGGGAGCUUAAACUUCCGAAACUGCAUUCGAUAACUGCGGUGCUUGAGGACUGGAGAGGAGACUGGAAUUCAUGGUGUAGCAGUGAAAUGCGUAGAGAUCAUGAGGAAGACCAGUGGCGAAGGCGGGUC